rnacentral:rRNA from 1 species
AACGAACGCUGGCGGCAUGCCUAACACAUGCAAGUCGAACGACACCUUCGGGGCUUGUGGCGCACGGGUGCGUAACGCGUGGGAACUUGCCCUUAGGUUCGGAAUAACUCGCGGGGGGGGAUGCUAAGAACGGUGAGCGUCUACGGCCCAAGGAUUGAGCGCGUUUGGUUGGGACCGCAUGGGAUUAGCUAGUUGGUGGGGUAUAAGCCUACUAAGGCGACGAUCCAGAGCUGGUCUGAGAGGAUGCUCAGCCACACUGGGACUGAGGCACGGCCCAGACACCUACGGGAGGCAGCAGUGGGGAAUAUUGGACAAUGGGCGAGAGCCUGAUCCAGCAAUGCCGUGUGAGUGAUGAGGGCCUUAGGGUUGUAAAGCUCUUUUACACGGGAUGAUAAUGACAGUACCGGGAGAAUAAGCUCCGGCUAACUACGUG